rnacentral:lncRNA from 1 species
CCAGGCUUUUGGUGUGCUGCUUUCUCUGUGUCACCACCACCUACCCCCACGGCCGUGCUGACCCAUAGUGCAGCGUUGCAUUUUGGCCCUCCAGCUGUGAAUGUUUUGUCUUGCAUGGGCUAUCAGUGCAUAAUGGUCAUGAAAAGUGUAUUCUAAAGGAGUACUGGCAUGGAAUCUUCGACUUGUCACUGUUUUGCCAUUAAAUGAAGGCCCAAAUUCAGUAAAGUCCAAAGCAAAUGAGCGCCUAAAUCCUUUUAACCCUAGAGAAAUUACUAGUGCCGGAGCUACGUGUCAGAAAAUUUUGCUUUAUGUCGUAAUGUCAUAAUGUCACCAAAAUGAUGAUGAUGCCAGGUCUGACAUUUCAAGGAACACUUUAACCAUCACAUUAAAAUAUCUGACAAGUAGGUCACAGGCUUUAUACAUGCCAAGUGUCAGCCUUUUAUGCACAAGGAGCGUCUGGUAGAGUUUGACGACUUCGAGAUUGUGUGUUAGUACUCCUUUAACAAGGGGCUUGUGCUGUGCAGCAGUUCUUCAUUUUCAUUGCCACAAGUUUGCUUGACUGCCUCUGACGUAAUAAUUUAUUAUAUGCUUCAGCGUUAGUGCUCCUGGCAUACGUUAGUGCUGGAAAUUAAAAUUAAGUUAACAAGUGAACUGCUACACGACGCAACUUCGAAAUUCAUCAUUUCCCCCUUUUCUUUGUGUUGCAUGUUGUCAUCAUUGAGUUAAGCUAUCACAAAUUUCAGGAUAUUUUUGAUUGAGGGCUUCAGCUUUGAUAAGAACUAAAAGAAAAAAGCCAGAAGAAUGCAAGUGUUGUAGAGGUUCAUGUGAGCUCUAGGUGCUGAUGUAAAUGUGUUUCUGUCAGCAGCUUUUUUUUUUUUUGUAGAAUUAGGACUAGUCAUUAGUGCAGAUCUAUAGUGGCAGCUGCUUUGGCCCUUUGCAAGAAUUUUUUGUUUUGUUACAUAAGUACUUCAGCUCAUCUAUACUAAACCAGUGGUCCUGUAUAGACUUUUCAAGUACAUUUGGAACAGCUGCAAAGUAUUCAAGGCUCAUAAAUACAUUUUUUGUUGUUCAGGCAAAAUGUUUGCUACCACAAAGAAGUGUUUAGUCUUGCAAAGCUGUCAAUGACAAGCAUCC